UUGGGAAAUAUCAAUACCAGUCGUGUUUGAUUUGGCGAGUGGACUGGUUAAGAUUUUCUUGUUGAGUGGUAGUGGUGAUCAUUGUGAAUUUUUAAAUUAUGUUUGAACAAGUUAAAAUAUGCUUAGAAUUUUCCAAAUCUGGUAUAGUAAAAAAAUGUUUGAAAUCGGCGCUUGAGAUGCUUGAACAUAAUUACAUGUAUUGCCACUGGAUUACAACAUAUACUAUACAUUAUGUGGGUCAAACAAUAUCACAGAUUCUCAUCACCACCCAAUCGAUUUCAGUAGUACACAAUCCAAAUUAAUUUCUGUGACCAGAGAUUAAAAGGACCUUAAGCGAAAAGUUUUAUUGUCAUUAACAAAUAGCUUUAGACGUAAUAUAUAAAGAUAAAAGUGUUACCUUCUAUAGCACAUCUUCACUAUGUUGAUUUACAUGGAUCAAUAACAAAAACUAUUUAUUUUCAUCACUGAUUUCUUCUUCACUACACAAAUGGUGGUUCAUUGAUUAAUCACCAAUGUAGGGUGUUUAUUUAGUCGGAUGAUAUGGACUAAUCCAGUGAUGAAUACUGUCGGAUGAAAUGGACUUACAUUGAGUUCCAGGGGACUUAAUACUAAAAUAUUUUUGGGAUUUGGUCUAGUCAAAGAGUUACACAAAAAAUGUACGUCGUGAAUUCAUCGAAAUAAAUGAAAUCAUAAAUGCGUAUACUGAAGUGUCAGUUCGACCAAAUUUCAUCUUGAGAUGUUUCAAUCUUUCAGCAAAAGACAACACGUAAGACGUUUACUUGAUCAGAUAACGUGUCAAAUGCGUAAAGCUUCCAUAUUGAAUCUCCAACAGACGGAUAACAAAAUAUUACUGGAGAUGAGCAAAUAUUUUCAAUAUUAUGAUUACUACAUUUGGUGAAUCGAUAUCCUGGAUUAAAAAUAUAUUGCAUAACAGUUUGGACUGAAUGUGAGCAGAAGUUAGGAAGUUUUGGUUAUAUAAAUAAUGAUGGUCGGUCGCAAAGGAGAUACUGAGGAGGUCACCAAUUAUCAAUAUUGCUAAUAAUGCUAACUUUCUUUUAAAAGCAGUACAAAAUUUUAAACCACUAUUUAAGUACAGAAAAUUGAAAUCAUUUCAAUACCAGUAAUUUACAAAAUACCGCAUAAAUACCGAUGUAAGAUGUCUAGGAUCAUCUCACCGGAGAGGAGUAAAAACAGAUAAGCUAUUAUCAUUUUCUUAACAAUAUGUGCUAAUAUAAUUAAGACAAAAAUCUUAUUUAAACAAUACAAAUUGCUUUUGUUGGCAAAUAAUACUACAUUAUAAAAGCUGUGCUAAAAAUUUUUACGAUUACUGCGGUUUUGAUAAUUAUUUCCAAAAAAAAGUGUUAAAGGAUCAUUGGAUAAAUAUUGAAGCCUAAUAUGAUUUUGGUUUAAAUUAAAUUUUAAUGUACCUUAAACCAAUAUAUAU